CUCUAAUUUUGUACCUUCCCUGUCAGUCGUAUGUGCAAACCUGUAUGCCAUUGUAUAUAAGAUCGUUUUGUUACGUCAAGGGCAAAGGGGAUCACUCUAAAUAUUUUAGGGCUUAAAAAUUAAAGUUACGGUUGAACGUUUGUGUAAAAAACCAGCUCAAAUAACGUUACGUCCGCCAUGUUGCCGUAUAAAUGACGCCCGCCGUGUAAAGAAAUUAAUAAGGCAAUUACGUGACGCGAUUUAUCCAAUGACGUCGAUGCAUUCUAGUCCGAGGCAAAACAAAAAUGCUAAGAAUGUGUUCGAUUAAAGAUGACGUUUUCCUUUCAAUGUUAGAGCUAUAGCCCUGAUCCGACCCACCCUCUUCUGAUUUUCGGAGAGCUUAAAUUGUGUCCGCACUUCCUGGUUGUCAUCGGAACGCCGGUGUGUACAUUCAUUGUCACGGGUCACAUGACUUGCGUUUAUAGAUAUAUAGAUUUAACAGAGACAACAAACACUUAGGACAAGAUGGAGGUAGUCUCGCGGUGCCUGUGUACUGUGUUUCUGGUCCUGUCUCUCGUUUGUGAGUCCGUAACGGGUAAAUACUGCUACAACUCCUUCUCCAGCAAUCGAUAUUACUGCGGAGAUGACUAUGAUUGCUGCAACAUUGAUGAAUGCUGUUACACUUCCUACGUGUAUCAACUAUGGUGGUUUUGGUUUAUCUGGUUUAUAAUCUUCUCUCUGAUUGCGUGUUGCAUCAUUGCAAUGCGCAGGCGUAGAAAUCGUUUACAGUACAUACGGGUAGCUCAGCCAGCUUAUGGAGCAACAACAGCGCACCCCGCACCAGCCGGUGCCUACCAGUACCCGCACCAUGCACCAAGUGCCCCGGUCAGUCCGCCCCAAUAUACACAACCACAGAAACCACCGCCUUACCAAUAGUGGAAUCCAAAGCAUAUGAAUCAUGGGCCCGUUGUUAGAUACCGGUAGUCGAUUUGUCACAAUUUACGACCAUGCUUACUUUCCAUAUUUAUAAUAUUACUAAUUUAUUGUCAGAGUUGCUUUUCAUAGUUUAAAGUUCACUCAACUGGUUUUACUGGGCGGGUUUUAGGAAUUUAGUCUGAGCGUAGAAAUUGGAGAGAGCGGACGUUUCCAACCAGCUCCCUCAUUUCAUAUACAUAUAAAGCAUAUAUCAAAGGAGAAUUGUGUUGGACACACGUGUAGGAUUGUAAAGAAAUGGUUGUUUGUGCUUGCUUACAUGAUGAUUUGAAAACAAUUGUGCCUUUAGAACACUAGUUUGAAAAAUAAAAUGCUCUGAUAUGUCAAUGUUAUUUUUUUUUUUAUUUUGUAAUAAAACCAUUAUCUAUUUUCGGACAUUGUCAUAGUCUGUUAUGUAUGUGUAGAUGUGUUUGUUUUAAUAUUGUACUCGUUUAUGCUCGUAUAGUUACCAUAAAUAGAUCAUAUCAA
rnacentral:misc_RNA from 1 species